AACGAACGCUGGCGGCAGGCUUAACACAUGCAAGUCGAGCGCCCCGCAAGGGGAGCGGCAGACGGGUGAGUAACGCGUGGGAACGUACCUUUUGGUUCGGAACAACUCCGGGAAACUGGAGCUAAUACCGGAUAAGCCCUAACGGGGAAAGAUUUAUCGCCGAGAGAUCGGCCCGCGUCUGAUUAGCUAGUUGGUGAGGUAACGGCUCACCAAGGCGACGAUCAGUAGCUGGUCUGAGAGGAUGAUCAGCCACACUGGGACUGAGACACGGCCCAGACUCCUACGGGAGGCAGCAGUGGGGAAUAUUGGACAAUGGGCGCAAGCCUGAUCCAGCCAUGCCGCGUGAGUGAUGAAGGCCUUAGGGUUGUAAAGCUCUUUUGUCCGGGAAGAUAAUGACUGUACCGGAAGAAUAAGCCCCGGCUAACUUCGUG
rnacentral:rRNA from 1 species